AAUAUUGCACAAUGGGCGAAAGCCUGAUGCAGCAACGCCGCGUGCACGAUGAAGGCCUUCGGGUCGUGAAGUACUUUUCGGGGAGAUGAGGAAGGACAGUAUCCCCGGAAUAAGGAUCGGCUAACUACGUGCCAGCAGCCGCGGUAAAACGUAGGAUCCGAGCGUUAUCCGAAUUUACUGGGCGUAAAGCGCGUGCAGGCGGUUCGAUAAGUUGGAUGUGAAAUCUCCUGGCUCAACUGGGAGAGGUCGUUCAAUACUGUCGGGCUAGAGGAUGGUAGAGGGAGGUGGAAUUCCCGGUGUAGUGGUGAAAUGCGUAGAUAUCGGGAGGAACACCAGUGGCGAAAGCGGCCUCCUGGGCCAUUCCUGACGCUAAGACGCGAAAGCUAGGGUAGCGAACGGGAUUAGAAACCCCGGUAGUCCUAGCAGUAAACGAUGUGGACUUGGCGUUGGUGGGGUAAAAUCCAUCAGUGCCGUAGCUAACGCGGUAAGUCCACCGCCUGGGGAUUACGACCGCAAGGUUA
rnacentral:rRNA from 1 species